ACGCUUUGAACCUGUGAUCCUAAACAUGUCACUACAUUCAUACACAUAUCAUUGCAUUUGCAUUCAUCAUAAUACAUUUUAUAUCAUUUUUCACCAAAAAUAAAUACAAAAAAAAAACUCAUCCAUCCUUCGUCCAUAACCUACAGUUGAUUUCCCGAUACUCAUAUCAGACUUGAAGUAGCUCUUGAAAGAUCAUGGAUCCGUUGGAGAAAAGUCAUAUCGCAUCGAGAGGAGAUGUGGACUCGAUGAAAAAAUCAGCUAGACCAACUUGUGGAAGCUAUGAUAGUUCUAGCAAAGAAGGAAGACAACAUUCAGUAGACUGCAGUUGUUGAGAAUGUUAUGCUAGCUACAGUUAAUGGUCUUACCCAACCUCAGCUUGUGCAAACCCCAGUUGAUAACUCUACUAUACUCUACUGUUCAGACAGAAAGACAUCCUCAACACUGGCAAUCAUUGGACUAAUUUGUUUUUAUUUUUUGCAUUUGUAGUUUCUUUGUUGUUAAAAGCUGCUUGUAUUUAAACGUUGUUGCUUUUAAUGGUAAUAUUGAUGAAGUAAUGAUGCAUGUUUUGAAUUAAUCAUCUCGCAUUCGCUCAUUUUUCUUCUCUUAUAUCAAAAACAAAAAAAAUACAUCAUUGUUUCUCC
rnacentral:lncRNA from 1 species